rnacentral:lncRNA from 1 species
CAAAGUGAAAGUGUUACCGGUGGAUUUGUCUACUAGCGUAGUAAAUUUUAAAUCAGAAAACAAAUUUGUAUAUAAAAAUUAGUUAAAGAAGAUGAUUUAGAUAGUACAUGUAUGAUUGCCAUGGAACUACUCUUCAAAGGAAACCAAAUGGCACAGAAAUUAACAAAUAUAGGUCACCGUACGGCAUUCAACAAUGAGCAAAUGAAACCUAUUUGUACAUAGCCAAUAACCACCAACGGACGUUGUACCUUGUGUUCAAUGCUGAUUUUUUUCAGUUAUUUCUAUAAAUGUUUGAAGUUUUCAUAAACUAAUAAGUAGCGCUAAUUAUUGAUGCGUAUAUUUGAUAAUCUCAUUAUUCUGUAUAUAAUGGCUUUCAAAUAUGUCUUAGUGUUUUACAAUUCAUAGAUAUUGAUUUUACCUGUUGAUAGAUGAGUCUUAACCCUAACAAUUUG